GCUGGGUGUGGUGGUGCGCACCUGUAAUCCCAGCUACUCAGGAGGCUGAGGCAGGAGAAUCGCUUGACCCUGGGAGGCAAGGGUUGCAGUGAACCGAGAUUGAGCCACUGCACUCCAGCCUGGGCAACAGAGCGAGACUUUGUCUCAA
ensembl:misc_RNA Metazoa_SRP Metazoan signal recognition particle RNA